UGUCGUCAGCUCGUGUUGUGAAAUGUUGGGUUAAGUCCCGCAACGAGCGCAACCCUUAUCCUUUGUUGCCAGCGGUCCGGCCGGGAACUCAAAGGAGACUGCCAGUGAUAAACUGGAGGAAGGUGGGGAUGACGUCAAGUCAUCAUGGCCCUUACGACCAGGGCUACACACGUGCUACAAUGGCGCAUACAAAGAGAAGCGACCUCGCGAGAGCAAGCGGACCUCAUAAAGUGCGUCGUAGUCCGGAUUGGAGUCUGCAACUCGACUCCAUGAAGUCGGAAUCGCUAGUAAUCGUGGAUCAGAAUGCCACGGUGAAUACGUUCCCGGGCCUUGUACACACCGCCCGUCACACCAUGGGAGUGGGUUGCAAAAGAAGUAGGUAGCUUAACCUUCGGGAGGGCGCUUACCACUUUGUGAUUCAUGACUGGGGUGAAGUCGUAACAAGGUAACCGUA
rnacentral:rRNA from 1 species